GAUACUUGGCUUGCAGAAUUCUCACGACCAGCAGCAGAGGGCAGCAACGGCGGGUGGGUGGCAGGUUCCUCGCAAGGCGCUCAGAGGACUUGGGCUUCUGCCUUCACCAACAGCGGGUGUUUCCAGGUGCUGGGGAAGAGAAGGCUGGCCCCGGCUUGCCAGACACUAUAAGGCAGAAACAAGAUACUUUGGUUUGUGGGAGCAGAGCCUCGGGAAGUGUGAUCUCGUGACUAGCGCUGGUUCGCAAACUGUUAUGGGUCUGCAACAAGG